GAGGGGAGGAUGGUGAUGAUGUGAGAGUGACGUGGAGAGGACCUGGGUGAGGACGGGGGAGGGGCGGCACGCACCUGACUCGGCCACCUCCGCGAUGUCCACGCCCUGCUCCUGCGCCAUGAAGCCCAGGAUGGAGAAGAUGGCGAAGCCGGACACGAAGCUCGUCCCGCUGUUGAGGCACCCGAGCAGGAGGCAGUCCCUGCGAGGCCGGGGCGGGUCAGCCGAGGCCAGCCGGCCUCGCCCUCCUCGGCCAGCCGGCCUCGCCCUCCUCGGCCUCCCUCUCCUUUGAGGCCGAGUCUCGCUCUGUCGCCCGGGCCGGAGUGAGCGCCGUGGCCUCAGCCUCGCCCACAGCGGCCUCCGACUCCUGGCCUCCAGCGAGCCUCCCGCCUCGGCCUCCCUCUCCCGAGUAGCUGGGACUGCAGGCGUGUGACACCACGACACCCGGCUCGUUUUUCUCUACAUAUUUUUAGUCGUCCGGCUCAUUUCUUUCUAUUAUUUUUUUAGCAGAGACGGGGUCUCGCUCUUGCUCGGGCUGGCCUCCACCUCCCGGCCUCCAGCACGAGCCUCCCUCCUCGGCCUCCUCCCGAGCAGCUGGGACGACAGGUGCACGCGAGCCUACUCUCUUUCCCUUCAAACGUCGUCGCCACGGCUACCCUCGGACCCGUUGCCGGGGACAACCCAGGACGUACCCCCCGACACUUGCCUGUACGAGUUGUACUUGUACUUGUUAUAGCUCCCCAGCGAGGUCAUGGCCCCCAGGCAAAUCGCGUAGGAGAAGAAGAUCUGGGUCCCCGCGUCGAUCCACACCUGGCCCGGCCGGGCAGGUAAGCAACAAGGGGACAGAGAGAGACAGAGAGAGAGAAAAAAAAAAGGGCAAUCAGGGUGGACUCCCUGGAGGAGGAGGCGGCGGCCUCAGUUCUCGGCCGCGUGGAAUCCCGUUUCCCCCAAAUCGUGGGGGACUUCGCGAGGAGGCCAUGCCGGGAGGCCCGGGACCAAGAACCCACCCCCCCGGUCAGGUAUGGGGGGGCGUUUGAGGCAGAAGAUUCCGGAUUGCAGACCCACCCCCUCCCCCGCCCAACGAGGGGUCUCAUCGGGUUACAAAGUAUCGAAGAUGGUUCGAUCGUUUGGCAACAAAGUAUCGAAGAUGGUUUGAUCGUUUGGCAACAAAAUAUUCGAUCGUUUGGAAACAAAGUAUCGAAGAUGGUUCGACAGUUUCGCAACAAAAUAUUCGAUCGUUUGGCAACAAAGUAUCGAAGAUGGUUUGAUCGUUUGGCAACAAAAUAUUCGAUCGUUUGGAAACAAAGUAUCGAAGAUGGUUCGAUCGUUUGGCAACAAAGUAUCAAAGAUAGUUCGAUAGUUUGGCAACAAAGUAUUCAAUCGUUUGGCAACAAAGUAUCGAAGAUAGUUCAAUAGUUUGGCAACAAAAUAUUCGAUCGUUUGGCAACAAAGUUUCAAAGAUAGUUCAAUAGUUUGGCAACAAAGUAUCGAAGAUAGUUCGAUCGUUUGGCAACAAAGUAUCGAAGAUAGUUCGACAGUUUCGCAACAAACUAUUCGAUCGUUUGGAAACAAAGUAUCGAAGAUGGUUCGAUAAUUUGGCAACAAAGUAUUCUAUAGUUUGGCAACAAAGUGUCGACGAUAAUUCGAUAGUUUCCCAAUAAAGUAUUCGAUCGUUUGGCAAAAAAGUAUCGGACGUAGUUUUAUGGUUUGGCAACAAAGUAUCGAACAUGGAUUGAGAUCGUUCGGCAAUAAAGUAUCGAACAUAGUUCGGUAGUUUGGCAAUGAAGUAUCGAAGAUAGUUCGAUCGUUCGUCAACAAAAUAUUCAACAGUUUGGCAACAAAGUGUCGACGAUAAUUCGGUAGUUUCCCAAUAAAGUGUUUGAUCGUUUGGCAAAAAAGUAUCGAACAUAGUUUGAUAGUCUGGCAACAAAGUAUCGAAGAUAGUUCGAUCGUUUGGCAACAAAGUAUCAAAAAUGGUUCGAUUGUUUGGCAACAAAGUGUCGACGAUAAUUCGAUAGUUUCCCAAUAAAGUAUUGGAUCGUUUGGCAAAAAAGUAUCGGACAUAGUUUUAUAGUUUGGCAACAAAGUACCAAUGAUAGUUUGAUAGCUUUGCAAUAAAGUAUACGAUCGUUUGGCAACAAACUAUCGAAGAUAGUUUGAUAGCUUGGCAACAAAAUAUUCGAUAGUUUGGCGACAAAGUAUCGACGAUAGUUCGAUCGUUUGGCAACAAAAUAUCGAAGAUGGUUCGAUAGUUUGGCGACAAAGUGUCGACGAUAAUUCGAUACUUCCCCAAUAAAGUAUUCGAUCGUUUGGCAACAAAGUAUCGGACGUAGUUUUAUAGUUUGGCAACAAAGUAUCGAAAACAGUUCGGUAGUCUGGCAACAAAGUAUCGACAAUAAUUUGAUACUUUCCCCAUAAAGUAUUAGAUCGUUUGGCAAAAAAGUAUCGAACACAGUUUUAUAGUUUGGCGACAAAGUAUCGAAGAUAGUUCGAUCGUUUGGCAACAAAAUAUUCGAUAUUUUGGCAACAACAUAUGGAAGACAGUUCGAUAGUUUGGCAACAAAGUAUCGAAGAUGAUUCGAUAGUUUGGUGACAAAGGGUCGACGAUAAUUCGAUAGUUUCCCAAUAAAGUAUUCGAUCGUUUGGCAAAAAAGUAUCGGACGUAGUUUUACAGUUUGGCAACAAAGUAUUUAUGAUAGUCCGAUAGUUUCGCAACAAAAUAUUCGAUCGUUUGGCAACAAAAUAUUGAAGAUGGUUCGAUAGUUUGGUGACAAAGUAUCGACGAUAAUUUGAUAGUUUCCCAAUAAAGUAUUUGAUCGUUUGGCAAAAAAGUAUCAAACGUAGUUUUAUAGUUUGGCAACAAAGUAUCGACGAUAGUUUGAUCGUUUGGCAACAAAGUAUCAAUGACAGUUUGAUUGUUUGGUGACAAAGUAUUCUAUACUUUGGCCACAAAGUGUCGAUGAUAAUUUGAUAGUUUGGCAACAAAAUAUUCGAUCGUUUGGCAACAAAGUAUCGGACGUAGUUUUAUAGUUUGGCAACAAAGUAUCGAAGAUGGUUUGGUAGUUUGGCAACAAAAUAUUCGAUAUUUUGGCAACAACAUAUGGAAUAUAGUUCGAUAGUUUGGUGACAAAGUAUCAACGAUAAUCCGAUAGUUUCCCAAUAAAGUAUUCGAUCUUUUGUCAAAAAAUUAUCGAACUUAGUUUUAUACUUUGGCAACAAAGUAUCAAUGAUAGUUUGAUAGUUUCGCAACAAAGUAUUCGAUCGUUCGGCAACAAAGUAUCAAAGACAGUUUGAUAGUUUGGCAACAAAGUAUCGAAGAUAAUUUCAUAGUUUCCCAAUAAAGUAUUCGAUCGUUUGGCAAAAAAGUGCCGAACAUAGUUUUAUAGUUUGGCAACAAAGUAUUAAUGAUAGUUCGAUAGUUUCGCAACAAAGUAUUUGAUCGUCUGGCGACAAAGUAUCGAAGAUAGUUCGAUAUUUUGGCAACAAAAUAUUCGAUAGUUUGGCAACAAAGUAUUCUAUAGUUGACAACAAAAUAUCGACGACAAUUUGACAGUUUCCCAAUAAAGUAUUUGAUCAUUUGGCAAAAAAGUAUCGAACGUAGUUUUAAAGUUUGGCAAGAAAGUAUUGAAGAUGGUUCGAUAGUUCCGCAACAAAAUAUUCGAUCGUUUGGAAACAAAGUAUUGAAGAUGGUUCGAUCGUUUGGCAACAAAGUAUCGAAGAUAGUUCGGUAGUUUGGCAACAAAGUAUCGACGAUAAUUUGAUAGUUUCCCAAUAAAAUAUUCGAUCGUUUGGCAAAAAAGUAUCGAGUGUAGUUUUAUAGUUUGGCAACAAAGUAUCGAAAGUAGUUCGAUAGUUUCGCAACAAAGUAUUCGAUCGUGUGGCAACAAAGUAUCGACAAUAAUUCGAUAGUUUCCCAAUAAAGGGUCGACGAUAAUUCGAUAGUUUCCCAAUAAAGUAUUCGAUCGUUUGGCAAAAAAGUAUCGGACGUAGUUUUACAGUUUGGCAACAAAGUAUUUAUGAUAGUCCGAUAGUUUCGCAACAAAAUAUUCGAUCGUUUGGCAACAAAGUAUCAAAGAUGGUUCGAUCGUUUGGCAACAAAGUAUCGACGAUAAUUUGAUAGUUUCCCAAUAAAGUAUCUGAUCGUUUGGCAAAAAAGUAUCAAACGUAGUUUUAAAGUUUGGCAACAAAGUAUCGACGAUAGUUCGAUCGUUUGGCAACAAAGUAUCAAUGACAGUUUGAUUGUUUGGUGACAAAGUAUUCUAUACUUUGGCCACAAAGUGUCGAUGAUAAUUCGAUAGUUCGGCAACAAAAUAUUCGAUCGUUUGGCAACAAAGUAUCGGACGUAGUUUUAUAGUUUGGCAACAAAGUAUCGAAGAUGGUUUGGCAGUUUGGCAACAAAAUAUUCGAUAUUUUGGCAACAACAUAUGGAAUAUAGUUCGAUAGUUUGGUGACAAAGUAUCAACGAUAAUCCGAUAGUUUCCCAAUAAAGUAUUCGAUCUUUUGUCAAAAAAUUAUCGAACUUAGUUUUAUACUUUGGCAACAAAGUAUCAAUGAUAGUUUGAUAGUUUCACAACAAAGUAUUCGAUCGUUCGGCAACUAAGUAUCAAAGACAGUUUGAUAGUUUGGCAACAAAGUAUCGAAGAUAAUUUCAUAGUUUCCCAAUAAAGUAUUCGAUCGUUUGGCAAAAAAGUGUCGAACAUAGUUUUAUAGUUUGGCAACAAAGUACCGAAGAUAGUUCUGUAGUUUCGCAACAAAGUAUUUGAUCGUCUGGCAACAAAGUAUCGAAGAUAGUUCGAUAUUUUGGCAACAAAAUAUUCGAUAGUUUGGCAACAACGUAUUCUAUAGUUGACAACAAAAUAUCGACGACAAUUUGACAGUUUCCCAAUAAAGUAUUUGAUCAUUUGGCAAAAAAGUAUCGAACGUAGUUUUAAAGUUUGGCAAGAAAGUAUUGAAGAUGGUUCGAUAGUUCCGC
rnacentral:lncRNA from 1 species